GACGAACGCUGGCGGCGUGCCUAAUACAUGCAAGUAGAACGCAGUUGCGAACGGGUGAGUAACGCGUAGGUAACUUCCUCAUAGCGGGGGAUAACCUUCGGGAACGAUAGCCAAUACCGCAUACUGCGGGAUAGACCUGCGUUGGAUUUGGUAGGUGGGGAGGUAAAGGCUCAACAAGGCGACGAUACAUAGCCGGCCUGGGAUGGUGAUCGGCCAAAAUGGGAAUGGGACACGGCCCAGACUCCUACGGGAGGGAGCAGUAGGGAAACUUCGGAAAUGGACGGAAGUCUUGCCGAGCAACGCCGCGUGAGUGAAGAAAGUUUUCGGAUCGUAAAGCUCUGUUGUGAGAGAAGCGGUAACUAACCAGAAAGCGACGGCUAACUACGUGCCAGCAGCCGCGGUAAUUC
rnacentral:rRNA from 1 species